rnacentral:piRNA from 1 species
UGCAAUAUUGAAAUGUCAAUC